rnacentral:rRNA from 1 species
UGGCGGACGGGUGAGUAACGCGUGGAUAACCUGCCGUAUACUGGGGGAUAACACUUAGAAAUAGGUGCUAAUACCGCAUAAGCGCACAGUCUCGCAUGAGACGGUGUGAAAAACUCCGGUGGUAUACGAUGGAUCCGCGUCUGAUUAGCUUGUUGGCGGGGUAACAGCCCACCAAGGCGACGAUCAGUAGCCGGCCUGAGAGGGUGAACGGCCACAUUGGGACUGAGACACGGCCCAAACUCCUACGGGAGGCAGCAG